rnacentral:rRNA from 1 species
CGGCAUCAGCUCAAAUUUGAAAUCUGGCUCUUUCAGGGUCCGAGUUGUAAUUUGCAGAGGGAGCUUUCGAGUUGGCAGCGGUCUAAGUUCCUUGGAACGGGACGCCAUAGAGGGUGAGAGCCCCGUAUAGUUGGAUGCCAAGCCUUUGUAAAGCUCCUUC